GGGGGUAUAGCUCAGUGAUAGAGCACAUGCUUUUUGUGCAUGAGGUCCUGGGUUCAAUCCCCAGUACCUCCU
rnacentral:tRNA from 1 species